rnacentral:rRNA from 1 species
GAUUAGGUAGUUGGUGGGGUAAUGGCCUACCAAGCCGACGAUCCAUAGCUGGUUUGAGAGGAUGAUCAGCCACACUGGGACUGAGACACGGCCCAGACUCCUACGGGAGGCAGCAGUGGGGAAUCUUAGACAAUGGGCGCAAGCCUGAUCUAGCCAUGCCGCGUGAGCGAUGAAGGCCUUAGGGUUGUAAAGCUCUUUCAGCUGGGAAGAUAAUGACGGUACCAGCAGAAGAAGCCCCGGCUAACUCCGUGCC